AGUUAAAGAGCUUUUUCUCCAUAGCUGCUGAAACCAGAACCAAGAAAAAAUGUCCUGGACAGAGGUUUUGCACUAAGAGAAUAUCUUCAGUCCUGUGAUACCUGCUGGAAAGUAUUAAAUGAAUGAAUUAGAUUUUUGACCUCACAACUGGAUAUUUUGAUGGAAUGAAACAUUCUAACUCGCCUUUUUAUAAGCCCAGAAAUCAUUAGUUGCAUGUUUGUUUUUUCCAUUAUUAGCUACAUUCUAAAAUAAAUGUUCUGGGGAGCUCCUGUCAUGGCACAGCGGAAACAAAUCUGACUAGGAACCAUGAGGUUAUGGGUUCAAGCCCUUGCCUCGCUCAGUUGCUGUGAGGUGUGGUGUAGGUCUCAGAUGCUACUCAGAUUUGGUGUGGCUCCACUGGCCUACGCCAGAGCCACAGCAACGCGGGAUCCGAGCUGCGUCUGCAACCUACACCACAGCUCACGGCAACGCUGGAUCCUUAACCCACUGAGCAAGGGUAGGGACCGAACCCGCAACCUCAUGGUUCCUAGUCGGAUUCAUUAACCACUGCGCCACGACGGGAACUCCCCUGUUUUCAGUUAUUCUUUUAAAUUCUGUUUUAUUUCAUUGUGAUUAUCUUUAGGCUUUCAUUUCUUAUUCUGACAUUUAUUUUAUUAUCUCAUUCAAGUUUCAAAUUUUUAUUGUUUCAGUUUCCUUACGGCAGAAUCCUUUAAUUCUCCUUCCUUCAUGGAGUCCCUGUGUCAUUUGUUAUUUUUAAUUCAAAUUAUUCCUCAGUGCUUUUAGUUUGUUUUUAUACAAGUCUUCCAUGAUUUGCGUAAGGUCUGGGAUUUGAUUUGACCCUACUAAAUCUCUUAAGUUAGUUUUAUGCUAGUAAGUCAUAGCUAGCUUCAUAUUUGAAAAUCAGUCAAUGCAAUCUACUAUGGUAACUAUCCAAAGAAGAAAAACAGGAUGAUCAUAUCAAUUGAUGCAGAAUAGCCAUUUGAGAAUAAUCAAUACUUAGUCACUUAAAAACCUAGGAAUAUGAAGUAGUAUCCUCAGUCUGAUAAAGAACAUCAACAAAAGACCCUACAGGUAACACCGUACUUAAUGACUGAAUGUUCUCCCUGUGAGACCAGGAACAAGGAAAUGUCUGUUCUCAGUACUCCUUGAGGGAACUCCACAGUGAGGCUAUGAAUUCACCUGCUAUGUAAUUCAGUAAACAGUUGAAUUUUGUGUUUAAUUUACAGUAAUAUCAGUUUUUUGGUCCUAAUAGGUAGGAGAUUUUUUUUAAAGGAUGACAUGGAAGCCAUGUGGUUCUCAGACUAUCUGAGCUGAGAAUUAAAAAGGCUGAUCUUGUUCUUUGUAUAUAUAAACACUUAACUAUAAUCAAAAUGAUUCAUCCCAUACCACAGUCGUCAUCACUGCUGUAAUGGUCAAGGGUACCAGUCACUUGGGCUCCCAAAGCACAUGUUCCAUUUGGCACUUCAUCACAACUAAUAGUAGCAAUUAGUGUGGAUUAAUUAAAUUUUAAAUCACUAUAUGCCAUGGAUUACUAGCAUCUCAUCUUCCAUUAGACAGAAGCUCAACACUGUGCCAAGCCCAACAGCAUGAGCAGACUAACUCCCAAAUCCCAUCUUUAUGGUUCAUCUUCUGAAACUCCUCUUGCUAUCAAGUUGGGUCCAAUCAGGAGGCAGAAACUAGACAGUGAUUUAAACAGGAGGCAUAUAAGGAAUUAUUACCCUGUUAUAGAAAAACAACUCUAAAAAUGGAAGGUGAACUCUAAGGGUACCUCAGGGCUUAAGGAGAGGACAAACUUGGAAGUGGGAUUUGGACCUUGUUGAAUAAGAUGUGGUUAUAGACCAUCAAUGGAGAGAAGUUUACUCCAUGACCCACACUAGAGCUGGUCCAUUGUCACUGAAAAAGCAGGAAUAACAGUCUGGACACAUGAGCAGAAGCUUGUAGGCAAGCAUUCAGAGGGAGUUGGGGCACUGCUGUCGACACUUUUGAAUCUUGGAUUUACAUUGACCUUGGUCUGCAGAAGCCAAGCAUACAUAUGUGUAUGGCUCAGGCCAGGGUGGCCCUGGGCCACUUGUGGGGUAAAGAUCAGGUGGUUAGCCUAUGAGGUAGCCAGCUUGGUGUGGCUUAUCUAGCUGAGAAGCGAGUGCCAGGGAGCAGUGACCUGGACUGGGACAGUCCUUUGCUCUUUGGGGCUCCCUGAUGUUCUGCUAUUGCCUGAAUCAAGAGCUGGAGAAAAAGUGCUGUUGUCAGCCACACUCCAAGGCACUGAGCACUGGAGAAAACACAUAGUAAGGAAAAGUAUCAUACUCCUGUGAGCCUGGCGAAUGAACAUAUAGGAAUUAUGAGGAAAACUUCUUUCCUCUGUAGUAUCUCUUGGAGGACACUACUGCCAAAACUUAUAUCAGGCCAGCUGGCAAGGGAAACAUGAAAAAUGCCUAGCUUUCUUGUCUCAGAUUAGGCAAUUAAGUAAAAAUAUAGAGUGGAGAAUCAUCAAAUUGAUAACUGUCUUUUACAUCUUUUUUACCAUUUCUCAUACACAUACGUCUCUUUCACCAUUUCUCAUACUCAUACACACGUACAUCUCAUAUGUAUUUAUUUAAGUGUAUGUAGUGCCUAAAUGAAAAAUUAAAAUGUAUCAUUUUCAAUAAAAUAUGCUCAGCCAUAACUAUAUUAAAGACAUAAUGUAGCAGUCAUGUGCAUUUAUCUAUAAGGAGAAUAACUGCGAAUGUGGCAUUGAG
rnacentral:lncRNA from 1 species